GACGAACGCUGGCGGCGUGCCUAAUACAUGCAAGUAGAACGCAGUUGCGAACGGGUGAGUAACGCGUAGGUAACUGCCUCAUAGCGGGGGAUAACUAUUGGAAACGAUAGCUAAUACCGCAUACUUUGAGAUGGACCUGCGGUGUAUUAGCUAGUUGGUGAGGUAAAGGGUCACCAAGGCGAAGAUACAUAGCCGACCUGGGAGGGGGGUCGGCCAAACUGGGACUGGGAAACGGCCCAGGCUCCUACGGGAAGGAGGAGGAGGGAAUCUUCGGCAAUGGACGGAAGUCUGACCGAACAACGCCGCGUUGGUGGAGAAGGUUUUCGGAUCGUAAAGCUCUGUUGUUUGAGAAGCGUUAACUACCCAGAAAGGGACGGCUAACUACGUGCCAGCCGCCGCGGUAAUUC
rnacentral:rRNA from 1 species